AUUGAACGCUGGCGGCAGGCUUAACACAUGCAAGUCGAGCGAGCGGCGGACGGGUGAGUAAUGUCUGGGAAACUGCCCGAUGGAGGGGGAUAACUACUGGAAACGGUAGCUAAUACCGCAUACUAUCAGAUGUGUCCAGAUGGGAUUAGCUAGUAGGUGGGGUAAUGGCUCACCUAGGCGACGAUCUCUAGCUGGUCUGAGAGGAUGACCAGCCACCUUUGAACUGAGACACGGUGCAGACGCCUGCGUGAGGCAACAGUGGGGAAUAGUGCAAAAUGGGCGCAAGCCUGGUGCAGCCGUGCCGGGUGUAUGAAGAAGGCCUUGGGGUUGUAAAGCACUUUCAGCGAGGCGGCGUUGCUCGCAGAAGAAGCACCGGCUAACUCCGUGCCAGCAGCCGCGGUAAUAC
rnacentral:rRNA from 1 species